rnacentral:lncRNA from 1 species
CUCAGGCUCAGCCACUCCCACACAGGGUCCAAUGCCCGGGGACGCAGGUAUUGAGAUGAGCCAGGAGUGGUGAUCAGCAAGGGCCCUGGGAACGGGCUUACACUGGCGUCUCCAUAGCAACGUGGUUCCCGGAAACCAGAAACCAGAGCCUAAAGUGUCCAUCAACAGACAUAGUCCAUCCCCUCCGGACUCCUUGGUCAUGAGAAAAAAGUCACACGACACUUGUUCGUGGAGGGAUUUCAAGGCUCAGUGGCAGGAGCCGGACACACAGCAACACACCUGGGAUCCACUCCCAGGAUGCCGCGGGAGCCCUGGGACGCAGAGACAGGACCGGGGAGAAGAACUGGCCUGCGAGAGGAGGGCGGAGCUUCAGUCUGGGAAUGCUGCUGUGACCGUGUGAGCCAAGCACUGCAUGCGGACCUGUAUCGCGGUAGCGCGUUCCCAGGACACCCGAUAACAGCACAAUUUUAACGUGCCUGGGACAGACCCGGAGGGCGACCAGCCUUGAGCCACCUGCACCAAGGCAGCUCCUGACAAAAGUGGGCAGAGAGUAUCGUCUUGGAGAAUGAGGUCUGUUGGAAGGGACAUGAGAAGACACCCAGCAGCGACACGGAGACACACCCUCAGCCCUGCAUCCUCCAGACCGGAUCUAGGGAGCAUCCCCAGGGUGGUCACCCAGGCCGCAGCAUCACGGACUUCCACCCACUCCGCACCUAGGGUAACAGACACGCGUGUCCCCGACAUCUCAAGGUCCCGUCGUGGAGACUGAGCAGGAACAGCCAUGAGGAGGUGACCGUGAGAAAACUUACAUACACAUGUUCACGCACAGCCAUGCGCAUAUAUUGGCCAAGUGCAUGCAAUGCCCUCAAAGUCCAGAAGGGGCAUCAGAGCCCCGGGGAAUGACGUCACAGACGUUAGGGAUCCUUGUCGGUGCCAGAUACCAAACUUCAGGUCAGAAGCAAAAACAUAUGUUUUUAAAUCCUGCCCAUUGCCACCAGUCCCAGUCAGACCCAUUAAAAUUUUU